GGUUCGAUUCUGGCUCAGAUUGAACGCUGGCGGGAUGCUACACAUGCAAGUCGAACGGCAGCACGGACUUCGGUCUGGUGGCGAGUGGCGAACGGGUGAGUAAUGUAUCGGAACGUGCCGCGUAGCGGGGGAUAACUACGCGAAAGCGUAGCUAAUACCACAUACGCCCUUCGGGGGAAAGCGGGGGACCUUCGGGCCUCGCACUAUUAGAGCGGACGAUAUCGGAUUAGCUAGUUGGUGGGGUAACGGCUCGCAAGGCGACGAUCCGUAGCUGGUUUGAGAGGACGACCAGCCACACUGGGACUGAGACACGGCCCAGACUCCUACAGGAGGCAGCAUUGGGGAAUUUUGGACAAUGGGAAACCCUGAUCCAGCCAUCCCGCGUGUGCGAUGAAGGCCUUCGAGGUUGUAAAGCACUUUUGGCAAGAAAGAAACGGCACGGGAUAAUACCCCGUGCAACUGACGGUACCUGCAGAAUAAGCACCGGCUAACUACGUGCCAGCAGCCGCGGUAAUACGUAGAGGGUGCAAGCGUUAAUCGGAAUUACUGGGCGUAAAGCGUGCGCAGGCGGUUCGGAAAGAAAGAUGUGAAAUCCAGAGCUUAACGCUGGAACUGCAUUUUAACUACCGAGCUAGAGUGUGUCAGAGGAGGUGGAAUUCCGCGUGUAGCAGUGAAAUGCGUAGAUAUGCGGAGGAACACCGAUGGCGAAGGCGGCCUCCACCAGGAUAACGCAACGACGCUCAUGCACGAAAGCGUGGGGAGCAAACAGGAUUAGAUACCCUGGUAGUCCACGCCCUAAACGAUGUCAA
rnacentral:misc_RNA from 1 species